rnacentral:rRNA from 1 species
GGGUGAGUAACACGUGGAUAACCUACCUAUAAGACUGGGAUAACUUCGGGAAACCGGAGCUAAUACCGGAUAAUAUAUUGAACCGCAUGGUUCAAUAGUGAAAGACGGUUUUGCUGUCACUUAUAGAUGGAUCAGCGCCGCAUUAGCUAGUUGGUAAGGUAACGGCUUACCAAGGCAACGAUGCGUAGCCGACCUGAGAGGGUGAUCGGCCACACUGGAACUGAGACACGGUCCAG